rnacentral:rRNA from 1 species
GAUGAACGCUGGCGGCGUGCUUAACACAUGCAAGUCGAACGGAAAGGCCCCAGCUUGCUGGGGUACUCGAGUGGCGAACGGGUGAGUAACACGUGGGUGAUCUGCCCUGCACUUUGGGAUAAGCUUGGGAAACUGGGUCUAAUACCGAAUAUGACCACUUCUUGGAUGUUGUGGUGGAAAGCUUUUGUGGUGUGGGAUGAGCCUGCGGCCUAUCAGCUUGUUGGUGGGGUAAUGGCCUACCAAGGCGGCGACGGGUAUCCGGCCGGGGAGGGGGUAAGGACACAUUGGGACUGAGGUCCGGCCCAGACUCCUACGGGAGGCAGCAGUGGGGAAUGUUGGACAAUGGGCGCAAGCCUGAUGCAGCGACGCCGGGUGGGGGAUGAAGGCCUUUGGGUUGUAAGCUCCUUUCGCUAUCGACGAAGCCACUUGUGGUGACGGUAGGUAGAUAAGAAGCACCGGCUAACUACGUGCCAGCCGCCGCCGUAA